UACGUAGGGUGCAAGCGUUUAAUCGGAAUUACUGGGCGUAAAGCGUGCGCAGGCGGUUUUGUAAGUCUGUCGUGAAAGCCCCGGGCUCAACCUGGGAAUUGCGAUGGAGACUGCAAGGCUUGAAUCUGGCAGAGGGGGGUAGAAUUCCACGUGUAGCAGUGAAAUGCGUAGAGAUGUGGAGGAACACCGAUGGCGAAGGCAGCCCCUGGGUCAAGAUUGACGCUCAUGCACGAAAGCGUGGGAGCAAACAGG
rnacentral:rRNA from 1 species